rnacentral:rRNA from 1 species
GGUUAAGCGACUAAGCGUACACGGUGGAUGCCCUGGCAGUCAGAGGCGAUGAAGGACGUGCUAAUCUGCGAUAAGCGUCGGUAAGGUGAUAUGAACCGUUAUAACCGGCGAUUUCCGAAUGGGGAAACCCAGUGUGAUUCGUCACACUAUCAUUAACUGAAUCCAUAGGUUAAUGAGGCGAACCGGGGGAACUGAAACAUCUAAGUACCCCGAGGAAAAGAAAUCAACCGAGAUUCCCCCAGUAGCGGCGAGCGAACGGGGAGCAGCCCAGAGCCUGAAUCAGUGUGUGUGUUAGUGGAAGCGUCUGGAAAGGCGCGCGAUACAGGGUGACAGCCCCGUACACAAAAAUGCACAUGCUGUGAGCUCGAUGAGUAGGGCGGGACACGUGGUAUCCUGUCUGAAUAUGGGGGGACCAUCCUCCAAGGCUAAAUACUCCUGACUGACCGAUAGUGAACCAGUACCGUGAGGGAAAGGCGAAAAGAACCCCGGCGAGGGGAGUGAAAAAGAACCUGAAACCGUGUACGUACAAGCAGUGGGAGCCUCUUUAUGGGGUGACUGCGUACCUUUUGUAUAAUGGGUCAGCGACUUAUAUUCUGUAGCAAGGUUAACCGAAUAGGGGAGCCGAAGGGAAACCGAGUCUUAACUGGGCGUUAAGUUGCAGGGUAUAGACCCGAAACCCGGUGAUCUAGCCAUGGGCAGGUUGAAGGUUGGGUAACACUAACUGGAGGACCGAACCGACUAAUGUUGAAAAAUUAGCGGAUGACUUGUGGCUGGGGGUGAAAGGCCAAUCAAACCGGGAGAUAGCUGGUUCUCCCCGAAAGCUAUUUAGGUAGCGCCUCGUGAAUUCAUCUCCGGGGGUAGAGCACUGUUUCGGCAAGGGGGUCAUCCCGACUUACCAACCCGAUGCAAACUGCGAAUACCGGAGAAUGUUAUCACGGGAGACACACGGCGGGUGCUAACGUCCGUCGUGAAGAGGGAAACAACCCAGACCGCCAGCUAAGGUCCCAAAGUCAUGGUUAAGUGGGAAACGAUGUGGGAAGGCCCAGACAGCCAGGAUGUUGGCUUAGAAGCAGCCAUCAUUUAAAGAAAGCGUAAUAGCUCACUGGUCGAGUCGGCCUGCGCGGAAGAUGUAACGGGGCUAAACCAUGCACCGAAGCUGCGGCAGCGACACUAUGUGUUGUUGGGUAGGGGAGCGUUCUGUAAGCCUGCGAAGGUGUACUGUGAGGUAUGCUGGAGGUAUCAGAAGUGCGAAUGCUGACAUAAGUAACGAUAAAGCGGGUGAAAAGCCCGCUCGCCGGAAGACCAAGGGUUCCUGUCCAACGUUAAUCGGGGCAGGGUGAGUCGACCCCUAAGGCGAGGCCGAAAGGCGUAGUCGAUGGGAAACAGGUUAAUAUUCCUGUACUUGGUGUUACUGCGAAGGGGGGACGGAGAAGGCUAUGUUGGCCGGGCGACGGUUGUCCCGGUUUAAGCGUGUAGGCUGGUUUUCCAGGCAAAUCCGGAAAAUCAAGGCUGAGGCGUGAUGACGAGGCACUACGGUGCUGAAGCAACAAAUGCCCUGCUUCCAGGAAAAGCCUCUAAGCAUCAGGUAACAUCAAAUCGUACCCCAAACCGACACAGGUGGUCAGGUAGAGAAUACCAAGGCGCUUGAGAGAACUCGGGUGAAGGAACUAGGCAAAAUGGUGCCGUAACUUCGGGAGAAGGCACGCUGAUAUGUAGGUGAAGCGACUUGCUCGUGGAGCUGAAAUCAGUCGAAGAUACCAGCUGGCUGCAACUGUUUAUUAAAAACACAGCACUGUGCAAACACGAAAGUGGACGUAUACGGUGUGACGCCUGCCCGGUGCCGGAAGGUUAAUUGAUGGGGUUAGCGGUAACGCGAAGCUCUUGAUCGAAGCCCCGGUAAACGGCGGCCGUAACUAUAACGGUCCUAAGGUAGCGAAAUUCCUUGUCGGGUAAGUUCCGACCUGCACGAAUGGCGUAAUGAUGGCCAGGCUGUCUCCACCCGAGACUCAGUGAAAUUGAACUCGCUGUGAAGAUGCAGUGUACCCGCGGCAAGACGGAAAGACCCCGUGAACCUUUACUAUAGCUUGACACUGAACAUUGAGCCUUGAUGUGUAGGAUAGGUGGGAGGCUUUGAAGUGUGGACGCCAGUCUGCAUGGAGCCGACCUUGAAAUACCACCCUUUAAUGUUUGAUGUUCUAACGUUGGCCCCUGAUCGGGGUUGCGGACAGUGUCUGGUGGGUAGUUUGACUGGGGCGGUCUCCUCCUAAAGAGUAACGGAGGAGCACGAAGGUUGGCUAAUCCUGGUCGGACAUCAGGAGGUUAGUGCAAUGGCAUAAGCCAGCUUGACUGCGAGCGUGACGGCGCGAGCAGGUGCGAAAGCAGGUCAUAGUGAUCCGGUGGUUCUGAAUGGAAGGGCCAUCGCUCAACGGAUAAAAGGUACUCCGGGGAUAACAGGCUGAUACCGCCCAAGAGUUCAUAUCGACGGCGGUGUUUGGCACCUCGAUGUCGGCUCAUCACAUCCUGGGGCUGAAGUAGGUCCCAAGGGUAUGGCUGUUCGCCAUUUAAAGUGGUACGCGAGCUGGGUUUAGAACGUCGUGAGACAGUUCGGUCCCUAUCUGCCGUGGGCGCUGGAGAACUGAGGGGGGCUGCUCCUAGUACGAGAGGACCGGAGUGGACGCAUCACUGGUGUUCGGGUUGUCAUGCCAAUGGCACUGCCCGGUAGCUAAAUGCGGAAGAGAUAAGUGCUGAAAGCAUCUAAGCACGAAACUUGCCCCGAGAUGAGUUCUCCCUGACUCCUUGAGAGUCCUGAAGGAACGUUGAAGACGACGACGUUGAUAGGCCGGGUGUGUAAGCGCAGCGAUGCGUUGAGCUAACCGGUACUAAUGAACCGUGAGGCUUAACCUU